UUUUUCUCCGUGAACCUGACGAGGGAUCAUUA
rnacentral:rRNA from 1 species